rnacentral:rRNA from 1 species
UGAGCAAUCUGCCCUUCUCUUUGGAAUAAGCGUUGGAAACGACGUCUAAUGCCGAAUACGACCUCCUUUCGCAUGAUCGGAGGUGGAAAGCUCCGGCGGAGAAGGAUGAGCUCGCGGCCUAUCAGCUAGUUGGUGUGGGUAAUGGCCCACCAAGGCGACGACGGGUAGCCGGUCUGAGAGGGUGACCGGCCACACUGGGACUGAGACACGGCCCAGACCUCCGUACGGGAGGNAGCG